UGUAGAAUGAACCGGCGAGUUACGAUUUGAUGCAAGGUUAAGCAGUGAAUGUGGAGCCGUAGCGAAAGCGAGUCUGAAUAGGGCGUUGAGUAUUUGGUCGUAGACCCGAAACCAGGUGAUCUACCCAUGACCAGGUUGAAGUUCAGGUAACACUGAAUGGAGGACCGAACCGACUUACGUUGAAAAGUGAGCGGAUGAGUUGUGGGUAGCGGAGAAAUUCCAAUCGAACCUGGAGAUAGCUGGUUCUC
rnacentral:rRNA from 1 species